AUUUAUAUAAUAUAUUUAGUAUAUUUGAUUUCCAUUCAAAAAGUUUAAUAAUUUUAAUAUAAAUA
rnacentral:tRNA from 1 species